rnacentral:rRNA from 1 species
CGUAGGGUGCGAGCGUUAAUCGGAAUUACUGGGCGUAAAGCGUGCGCAGGCGGUUUUGUAAGCCAGAUGUGAAAUCCCCGGGCUCAACCUGGGAAUGGCAUUUGGGACUGCAAGGCUGGAGUGUGGCAGAGGAGACUGGAAUUCCUGGUGUAGCAGUGAAAUGCGUAGAUAUCAGGAGGAAUACCGAUGGCGAAGGCAGGUCUCUGGGCUAACACUGACGCUCAUGCACGAAAGCGUGGGGAGCAAACAGGAUUAGAUACCCUGGUAGUCCACGCCUUAAACGAUGUCGACUGGUUGUUGGGGGUUUGACGCUCUCAGUAACGAAGCUAACGCGUGAAGUCGACCGCCUGGGGAGUACGGCCGCAAGGUUA